rnacentral:rRNA from 1 species
UACGUAGGGGUCUAGCGUUGUCCGGAAUUAUUGGGCGUAAAGAGCUCGUAGGCGGUUCGGCAAGUCGGAUGUGAAAUCUCCACGCUCAACGUGGAGGGGCCGUUCGAUACUGUCGUGACUCGAGUCCGGUAGGGGAGUGUGGAAUUCCCGGUGUAGCGGUGAAAUGCGCAGAGAUCGGGAGGAACACCCGUAGCGAAGGCGGCACUCUGGGCCGGUACUGACGCUGAGGAGCGAAAGCGGUGGGGAGCAAACAGGG